CCACCGUCGAGUUCUCUCGCCGAGUCCUCUCCCUGCUCGCUCGUCCUCGGUUCCGGCCAGAUCUUAUGCGCGUGAUUUUGAAGCUCUGCGCAUUCAUCGUGUUGCGUUGUGUGCCGAUAUUAUCUCUCGGCAGACCUCGCCGUCGACCAUGUUCAAGUGCUUGCUUGGCUCCUCACCUCCUUUGCAUCCUCCUCGGUAGACCGCUUGCUCUGCUUCAGCUCGCGUCCAUGGAUGUCGUGCCGCGCUAUCAUCACCUCCUUUUAUGAAUUCAAUCCCCACUGUCGUCGCUGCUACGUGCCUCGUUGCGUGCUUACCGGGUGUCGUCUGUUGUACCCCAGCACUCGUGCUUGCCCCUAGCUUGCGUUAGCGCUCGCGCGCCUGCUUGUUGUCAUUGCGGCACACUCGCUCUUCGUCCAUCGGGCUUCGCGCAGGCUCGCCUUUGCUGUCGAGCUGUUGAACCCGUCCUCCCUUGCUCGUGACUUUGUCGUCGCCAGCUCACUCCAGACUCGAUCUCGUCGUCGUUCCGUGCGUCAUCAAGAAAUCCCAAGAAUCGGGUGAAGACGAAGCUAGCAGCGUGAUGUUCACCAAGUACUCGACGUAAGGGCUGAACCAGAAUCCUUGUCGUGUUCGCGGAUAGCGCGUCAGAGUUAGUAUGGUAAACCAAUUCAUAUUUUUGUUAGCUUAAUUAUUGGCUUGAUGAAUAGAUUGUGUACAUAAGUAUAAAGUGGUCGUGUCAAGCGAAACUCAAGUUUAAAAUGAUUAGUGUGCAAGGAGAAUUAAUAGCGUGAAGAAUUGAUUUAGUAAUCCAAAUGAUUAUCC
rnacentral:lncRNA from 1 species